GCUUCAUACUGGCUACAGGUGGAUGAUGCCCACCUGGCUGCUGAUGACUUCUGCACCAAGUGAGGCUGGGUCUCUGGAGCUGCCCCAGGGGCUGGACAAGCUGACCCUGCCUGGAGCCAACCUGGAGAUGCAGCCUGAGAACCUCAAGGAGGACCUGGUCUACCUGAAGAAGAACCAUGAGAGGAAAUGAACGCCCUUUGAGGUCAGGUGGACGAGGAUGUCAGUGUGAAGAUGGACACUGUGCCUGGAGUGAACCUGAGCUGCAUCCUGAAUGAGAUGCGUGACCAGGACAAGAAACUGGUGGAGAAGAGCUGCAAGGAUGCCCAGGGCUGGUUCUUCAGAGAGAGAGGCUGAACUGCGAGGUGGCCACCAACACAGAGGCCCUGCAGAGCGGCAGGAUGGAGAUAUGGAGCUCUACAUCUCUGUGCAGAACCUGAGCCGUCCCAGCUCUCUCUUGGCCCACAGAAAGCAUCGCUGGAGGGCAGCCUGGUGGAGACGGAGGUGUGUUACAGGACCCAGCUGGCCCAGCUGCAGGGGCUCAUCAGAAGCAUGGAACAGCAGCUGUGCGAGCUCUGCUGUGAUGCAGAGCACCAGGACCACGAGCACCAGGUCCUUCUGGACGUGAAGACGCGGCUGGAGCAGGAGAUCGCCACCUACAGCCGCUUGCUAGAGGUUGAGGACGCAGGCUGGCCACUCAGUACUCCUUGUCCCUGGCCUCGCAGCCCACCCGGGAAACGGUGACCAGCCACCAGGUGUGCCAUCGUGGAGGAAGUCCAGGUUGGAGAGGUGGUCUUCUGUAAGCAGGUCCAUCUCUCCACC
rnacentral:lncRNA from 1 species